rnacentral:rRNA from 1 species
CCUACGGGAGGCAGCAGCGAGGAAUCUUGGUCAAUGGGGGCAACCCUGAACCAGCGACGCCGCGUGGAGGACGACGGCCCUUGGGUCGUAAACUCCUUUUGCCGGGGAAGAAUGAUGACGGUACCCGGCGAAUAAGCCACGGCUAACUACGUGCCAGCAGCCGCGGUAAU